AACCAUUUGACGAUUUCGUUCAGACAACCUGUCAUAAAAGCAUUGCACUAGUUGCCAUUUGGGUAUUUGAUGAUGCGGGCAUUUUCGGAGUAAAUCUCUAAAUUUUUUUCAAGUUUCAUGAAAUUCUUCCUCAUCAGAUUGGGAGAAGUUCGUGAUAGCACGCCUAAAUUGGUUUGUUCUUCCUAUGGAAAAAUAUUUCUUUAGAAAUUCAUGUUGCAUUUGAGCCCAAGAGAGAAUAGAAUUGGUUUCUAAUGAAUGGAGCCAUUGUUUAGCUCUAUCCUUAAGGGAAAAAGGAAACAACCUAAGUUUCAGAGCAUCAUCAGUGAAGUUCUGAAUUUUGACAGUAGUGCAGAUCUCAAGGAACUCAUCCAAAUGUU
rnacentral:lncRNA from 1 species